UACCACAGUUGUAUAUUUAUUGGUGGACAUUUUGAUCUUUGGUUGUGGUGGUCUGGGGCUCUUAGUUGUUUGGUUCUUAGCUUCAUUCCUCUUCUUGUAGGUAGGGCUUUUGUGCAUUAUAUGUAUGCUUUUUUGUAAGAGUGAAAUCCAAACUAAAGAGCAUGCAGAAGGAUAACACUAGCACCCCAUUAACACCAACUGGUCGGGUUCGACAUCGAAGACGUUCAAAUGAGGUUAGUCACAUCAUAAAAUCAAGUUUUGGUCAUUGUCAUUCACAUUUAAAAUUAAUGAUGUUGUAUUUAUUGGGUUUUGGGUUUGUUAUAAUAGAUGGGAUGAUGGGUACAAUUGAAAUUUGAAAUUUUUCUAAUAAUAGCUGAUAUUCAACCUUGGAUUUUUUUUUUGAGAUAUCCUGUUGGCCUCUCAGGUUGUUCCAGAUGCAUUUGUUAUAAGAGAUGGGAUGAUGGGUACAAUUACUUCUUCCUUUUUUUUCUCCUUUUCUUUUAUAAGAUGCAUCUACAAGAUACUUGAACUCGGUAUCAUUCGCACAAAUGAGAAUUGCUUGGAACUCAGGCUAUCUGCAAACUUCCGUUUAUCGAAGAAACCAGCCUUCUCUCAGAAGUUGCCAGAGUAGAAAACACAUUGACGGAUGAGGAGAGUCAGAGGAAAAAAUUGGGUAUGGAUGUGCUAUUUGUUCAUGUGACUUAUCCUUUAGCAAAAAAGAUAGUUUCUUUCUAUAGAAGUAAUAUUGAUCAUCCGAACUUGAUCAGUACUCAAGUCAAACAAGAAAUUGAUCCAGA